CUGAAAUCAAGUGGGAUUACCCGCUGAACUUA
rnacentral:rRNA from 1 species